GUUUUAGUAGGGGGGCCCCUGGACAGCAGUCCCGGUGGGCCCCGGGCCCCCCAGUCUGACCCUGUUUGGCUCAUUUGAACCUGGGUGGAGUCACCUUUCGAAAACAUAUCAGUAUGGCUUCUUCUGUUUUCUUGGUUGAAAUGACAUUACCCAUGUUACUAUUUUGGACUAGCACCUUGUCAAAAAAGAAAAACAAACACACCCGGUAAUGUUUUAGUACCUUUACUGACACAAUCUUUGUCAAAAUCCAAAACAGUUGAACAACAAUAAAAAGA